ACGUGUUUCUGAAACUGAACCCUUUUUUGUUAUAAUAUUUAUGUGUUAACAUUUUAUUGUAAAAUUUUUAGAAGCAAAACAAAACAAAAAAGGACCAAGAGAAAUAUUCUACAUCUGAUGUGCUGCCAUGAACAUAUAUUUAAAAGAUGUACAAGUUUGCGGUUGGCUUAUGGACUCAACAAAUUUAAUAUAAGAUUAUGUUGAAAUUACCUGCUUUGAAUUGUUGCUACACGUUAUAUCAUGCACAUAAAAGAUUACCCACUAAUAACUUCGUUUUGGGACAUAGCAGUUAACAUGUAUGACAUCGUAGAAUUCGUCAUACACCUUGCAGACCGAAGAAAUACGUUGAUUCUUUUUGAGAACAUUACAUUAACAGUACCUGAAAUCUGACGGUUCAGUGAUAGUUGGUAAACUUGUGCCGAACCUUCGCCAUCAUGAUGGAAGACUGUUGUAUAAACUGCUGAAGGGUCAUAUGCAACUAAAGUUGCAACUGAAGAAGCUAUGUUGCGUAGAAAGAAAAUAGAAGUAACUACAUCGCAAUGCAGAUUGUACUAGUCUUUGACAAAAGGUGGAAGUUUCUUUCAAAGAAUAACAAGCCGCACAAGAACUUCUGCAUUCUUUCCUUUCAGGGAUGAGAAGUGAUAGAAAAGGAAUGGAUUUUAGCUGUACUGAAACAAACAGUUGUGAAUUGCAAAGCAUGCGGAUUGGUGAAAUAUACCAUGCUUGGGAUCUGGUGUGUUACCUUGAGUUAGCAUCCCUUGCCUGUUGCAAGACACCAGUUAUAUGUAUAGGCACUAUCCGCAAUAACCAAUAAUUUUUGUUCAACGUAUACAAUAAUUCAAAUGUUAUAUUUAAUGAAUUUCUUUCUGGAGCUUUUCCGUUAUUACCAUCCUCGAUUGUGGACACAAAUCUCACCAUAAAUGAUGUUAUUGCACUUCAUCAUGUGUUGUACAUUACGUAAAAGGCUCUUGCUUUAGUUUUAUCUCAUAAAAUAACAUUCUAUGAGUUGCUAUUGUUGUGGUUAAACAUUCACAUUCAAAAUGCACAGAUUAAAUCGAUGCCUUACUGCACCAUUCCACAUGAAAUUCAAUUGACAAUUUAUUGGAUUCUAUAGUGAAGCUGUGGCUAUGCUUUCAUGUUUUUGUAGUUUGUGUGAGAGCAUUGAUGUACUUGCAGUACUCCUACUUAUAACAGUAUCAAUUACCAAUUAAUUGUGGUACCAGAAAAAAAAUAGACGUCUUGGGCCACAUUUAAUGCAGUGAUCAGUACGGCACAGCUAUGUCGAAAAUGUCUCAUGUUUUAUUCAUUGUCUCUCAAAGAGGUUCUGAUGGACAUCACAGAAGUGAGAAAACAACUGCACUUUCGCAAUCUGACAGCACUGGUUAAAUGCUGUUGGUGGAAAAACAUGCCGCGUGAAUGAAAUCUCCUGCGGAGUUUGAUCAAUUACUUAGCAGUUAUAUUUAUUGCUAAGGAAAUGUAAUUAUGAUGAAAGUUGUUUGUUAUGACAACUUAUUGUAAUAUUGUUUUAUAAUAACAUAUUAAUGAAGUUGCUUUUACUGACACUGUUGCAAUAAAUUGAAAAAUAAUUAAAAGUUGUUUAUUGCCAGGAAAAUUUUUCUGGGGAUUUAAAAAAUAUGUUGUUUACCAUGUCUUUGUUAACUGUGACACCUUAUCAAUAUUGUUCUACUUUUUUCCUGUUUUGUUAAAAAUAUGCGAUAUCAUGUGCUCUGGAAAAGGUGGUAAUGCUGGAAGCGCCACAGACAACAUGCACGGCAAUACGUGAAAAAACUUUAUAAUUGUUCACAUUUCUUUCGUUACUGUAUGUUGUUAACAACAGUCAACUUUUGGUAAGCAAUAAUACGACUUUACGCUUAGCAAAGUAUAACGAGCAGGUAAAAACAGUCAGACAGUAAUUUAAAGUUUAGACCAGACUGCAUUAAAGUAAAUCUGAAACUUGUUUUCCUGUUCUAGUUUCGUCCCCUGUAAUAAUUUAAGGUAGGUGUUAUUGACGCCAAGUAUAGAGUGGCCAUACAUUCAGCAAUUGCGAUACCCAAAUGCUUUUUGUAUAACCAAAUGUUCUCCGAAAUAUCCAGAUGAUAUCUUACAUUAAAAACGUGUUUUUUUAUUAUUUUUUUCUAAUAUUUCUUAGAAACAGUAUUCAUAUAUUUUUUUCUUUCCUUUUUCUUUUCUGUAUUUUUUCAUGAUUAUUCAGCCUUUACGAGAGCACCUUAUGUAAUUAUGUUAUCAUUAUCUAAUAUUUUUGAAAACUGUGAUAUCGAACACAUAGCUAUAAUUACGAUUUUUAGUUAUAUAUAUUUUUAAUUGGCUCGUUUUCGUAUAUUUUAGAAUUUUUACAAUCAUAGAACCCUGAUCUUUUUGUUAUAUUUUCCAAUUUUGUUAUUUCUUGAAAUUGAUAUGUUAUAUCACAGGCUAUUUAACUGACAUUUUUAUAUGUUUACAUGUUAUUACGUAUACACGUGUGUUUUUUAUUUUAAAUUUCAAGACUUACUUUCCAUUAUAUGAAUAUUAUAAACUUAGUGUUUUGACAAUUAUUUUAGUUAUUUUAUUCCCAAAAGGUGUGUAAGGUAAUGGUCUGUGUAUCUGGCCUUGAUGUAUGACAUUUUAUAGUAUAUUUCCACGUGACGUGAAAGAGAUUUUUGUUGCUGAUUAUCGGUGAUCAUACGAUAAAACGUCCACGUGUUGAGAUUGAACCAUGCAAUUGUAAGUGAACGUUGGCUGGUAUUUAAUGCUGCUCGUGCUGUGCAAAAAUACGCUUGUCGUAAUGUCAAACAAAACUGCAUAACGAAUGUUUUCCGAAUUAAUUCUGAGUGAACGUUGGUUUGUAAGUAAUGCGGAAUUUGAUUUUGCAUGCUCGUGUAACGAUUCUAAUACGAAAACACGUAUACAGAUCGAAUGUGAGUAACAAAAUGGGAUUGGCAUGGUAAACAUGAUUUGAACGAAAUUUAUGGAUUAAGUUAUUCGCUUUACAGUAAUCCGUAAGACGACUUAGUCAGACUGAACAUUAUAACAGUAAGUUUCACUUAAAUGCGUGUCGCGUAUGGAUAGCAUGAUUAAAAGUAUCAACUCACUUAGAACUUUCUUUCUUAUUUUGAAGAUGAUCACUAUGAUAUAUUUUCUCCAGAUGCUUUGUCAAAAAAUAUUUUAACAUCUUUAGGUCGCAUUUUCAUCAGAACAUAUUACAAUCGUUUCAAAAGUUUAGUAAAACGUAAAAACGUUAGAUUUCUCCAAAAAUCUAAUGCAUCAGUAAUAUAAUAAUUCUAAGCCUUUCAACGCUAUUAUACCAGAGUUUUUUGCCCAUUGUAGCCCUGGAAAAGGGGGGAGAGGGUGGGUAGGGGAUUGUGGUAUGUAUCCUUGAAGACUGAACCAUUCAUUAGCAUAUAUAAAAAAUUAUUUUAACAUCAAAACAGCGCAAAAAAUGUUUUAAGUUGACCUGCCGAAAAAAUAAUUCUAAGAAACAGGAAAGUUCAGUUUCUCCAACCAAAUAUUUUGUUCACGAUGGAUAAAUAAAACUUAAAAAAAGUCACCAAGUUUCAGAACUAUCAUCAGCUCUCUUUUUGUGACUUAUGCCUGCACAAGCAUAUAAUCAUUAAAACGGGAUAAGCACAAAGAAGAUUUUGUCGUUUUUAAAUUUGACGUCCUGUUUAACAAAUGCGUGUGAUCUGGAUCAUACAUCAUGUAAGUUGUUAAAAGCCGAAUCUUAGAAUAUCAAUUGUUUACUUUUAAUUUCUUAACCCUUAAAAUACUCUCGCGUUUAAAUGGUUUAAAUACCAAAAAACAAUUCGUAUUUAAGAAUCCCAGUUGUCAUCGGUUGCUAAGGAAAUGACAUAGAUAGUUUGAUUUCGAAAAUAUUUUAAACUACGACAUCAAUGAAACUCUCAAAAUUUGCACACCACAUCAAAUAAAAUGAUGUAAAUUUAAGUUGGAGUCAAAGAUAUUUUUCAGUUGUUUUGUUAUUUUUUAGAAAAAGUUUAUUCGAAGAUGGUUAAAUUCAUAAUUUUCAUCUAAAGAAAGAAGUCUUCCCAAAAACGUAAAAGUUGCCAUGUAGAAGUUAAAGAUGACAAAAUUAUAUGUUGUUAUAAUGGCUUCUAAACACAUUCUUUAUAACAAUUCAAUUUUUUGGCUGCUAUGGAAGACCUCAAACAAACUGUAUAAAAACGUCGUUGGGUAAUUACGAAAAAAACGUGUCACAUGGAUGUUAGAAUUAUAGCUUGUGUCAAAUUGCUUGAGAUGAAACGGAGUGACAUCUAAUGCUAGUGAGUUCGUUCUGUCAAGUGCUUACACAGAAUUUACAGUAUCAGAGAGUUUAAAAGAAUCAUUUUAACCUUUUUGGAAGCUGAAUUAUACAAGCGUCAGCUACGUAAUCCAAACAAGAAAUCGCAUGAAGAGUUGUCUAAUUCGAUUUAAUGUUGCUGGUGGUGAUGGAUACAUUGAAGAGUACAAUCUCCUUUCUCACGAUUACUUUGGUCGACUGAAUAAUUCUAUUCAGGUAACUGGCUGAUCAAAUGGUAUUAUUUUAGAAAUUGUUGAAAACAAUGCAUGAAACCAACAUAAAAUAUUUUUUGCCAAAACAUACGAAGAUCAUAGGUGUUAGCACGGUGGUUGUAGUGUUGAUACUGACACGAUGUAUGGUAUCUUUGCUCACAUGAAAAUGGACAAAUGCUAUGAGUUUUGACAGAUUUUGAAAUAUGAACGAAAUAAUUGGUUUUGACAGUAACUCUAAUGUGUAAGUGAAAAAAAAACUUGACAGCAUCUGUGUAAUUUCAUCAAUGGGCUCAACAUCACACGUCUGAGUUAAUAUCGUCCUAUACGGAAACUGCAGAAAAAUUUAGAACCUCUCACGAACUUAAACCUCACUCAAGAUGAAGAAGAUGAAUAUUAUAUUUUGCAUGAAACUUCUAUAACAAGGAACACGUACCAACUGCGCCAGGCUACCUGAAAAUUUGAUUUCAAGUUUAAAUAAAUCAAACGUAGGUAUUGGAGUUUCGACUAAAUGUGUUAGAGAAAACAAAUUUUCCUAUUAAUCGUUGUAUUUUUAUUUAUUUUAAUUUAUUUUCUCUAUUUAGUGUGUGAACAUUUCAACAUACAAACAAUUUUGCACAGUCGUUACAAUUUUUGAAGAAAACGAAUCAAUUUUGAGUUAACAGAUACUGCGUUUCUCCGUCACAAUGGCAAGAUCAAUUUCUAUGCAAGUUCGAUGAGUAUCCAGAUCAGUUAUACCGUCCUAACCAUCAUCUCAGUUCUUUGCACAAAAGUAAUUUUCUUCAAGGUCUGUGUGCUUUUGUAUACUGAAAUUUAAACUUCAAUACUUUAUGUGCGUACAAAUCUGGCGCACAAACAAAAGAUUUAGUACAAAAAUUACACACCAAGCGUUUCACUUGAAUAUUAUAACGCGUAAAAUACGUUCAUGAUACUAUUACACUAAAAGUUAUUCAGCGCGCAACAAGUGUAAUACCAAAAAGACGUUUAUAGGCAUUUCAGACCGCGAAACUUGUCUGAUAUGGCUCUUUUUAACAAAAUACUGUUUUUGCGCUUAUCUAUACAAUUUCUUAUCAAUUGCUACCACAUCCAUAAGACAAUCAUGACUGAUUGGAAUGGAGGCCUAUGGAUGUUGCGUACAGCUCAGCAUGUUUAAUCUCAAUUUGCUGCUUCUGGUAACUGCGUGUAUUUAUUUGACGUCUAUUGCUGUACAUCUGUAAGCUAAUUUAGAAACUGGGGCUCUUGUAGUCGAAAAACGCCCCUCAAUUUCACCUAUAAUCAUAGCAGCAGUAAUUUUCGCAAAACGUAACCAUAUGUGACAAUAAACUUACCUUGCCACUAAAGAAACUUAUAGAAAACAAACAACCGAUUUAAUCUCAACAAUAUCAUACCGUUCGUACAAUUAAAGCUAUAAAAACAUCACAAGUCAUGCUCAAUAUCAUAACGAACAGCAGCUGCGGUUUUUUUUUUGCCUGUUAAUUGGUUUGUUUUGUACUGUAUCUUAAGAGAUUGUUUGCGGUACAAAUGCUUAAGUCAUAGGCUGAAUUUUAUUAUCAAACGUUUUACACAUGUACGCAUAAGUAGCUUUGUAUUUUUUACUUCCCAAUCUACAUUCAGUGCGCACAACGUAAAUUUAUUCUUUCAUUGCAAGCAGCAACUUUUUUCCUUUUUUGGUCUAGUCUCUCAAUAAAAACUGAAAUAUCAUCCAGCAAACUUUCCAGACUAUUUAUGCACUUACAUAUA